rnacentral:rRNA from 1 species
UCCUUUGGGCCCAACCUCCCAUCCGUGUCUAUUAUACCCUGUUGCUUCGGCGGGCCCGCCGCUUGUCGGCCGCCGGGGGGGCGCCUUUGCCCCCCGGGCCCGUGCCCGCCGGAGACCCCAACACGAACACUGUCUGAAAGCGUGCAGUCUGAGUUGAUUGAAUGCAAUCAGUUAAAACUUUCAACAAUGGAUCUCUUGGUUCCGGCAUCGAUGAAGAACGCAGCGAAAUGCGAUAACUAAUGUGAAUUGCAGAAUUCAGUGAAUCAUCGAGUCUUUGAACGCACAUUGCGCCCCCUGGUAUUCCGGGGGGCAUGCCUGUCCGAGCGUCAUUGCUGCCCUCAAGCCCGGCUUGUGUGUGGGGGUCGCCGUCCCCCUCUCCGGGGGGACGGGCCCGAAAGGCAGCGGCGGCACCGCGUCCGAUCCUCGAGCGUAUGGGGCUUUGUCACAUGCUCUGUAGGAUUGGCCGGCGCCUGCCGACGUUUUCCAACCAUUUUUUCCAGGUUGACCUCGGAUCAGGUAGGGAUACCCGCUGAACUUAAGCAUAUCAAUAAGCGGAGGAAAAGAAACCAACCGGGAUUGCCUCAGUAACGGCGAGUGAAGCGGCAAGAGCUCAAAUUU